rnacentral:tRNA from 1 species
GUGUCUAUGGUGUAACGGCAACACGUCUCACUGUGAAUGAGGAGUUAUGGGUUCGAAUCCCAUCAGAUACC